rfam:Jatropha curcas cultivar GZQX0401 scaffold684_51, whole genome shotgun sequence.
UGGAGGAUGAUGAAACAAAUCAGACGGAUUCCCACUGAUUUUACUAAAUAUGAUAGUUACCAGCUACUUCUGACUCUU